GAUCAUGGCUCAGGAUGAACGCUGGCGGCGUGCUUAACACAUGCAAGUCGAACGAAGCAACUAUCUUGCUUGCAAGAGAGUUGACUUAGUGGCGGACGGGUGAGUAACGCGUGGGUAACCUGCCUCAUACAGGGGGAUAACAGUUGGAAACGACUGCUAAGACCGCAUAACCCGCUAGUGUCGCAUGACACGGACGGAAAAUAUUUAUAGGUAUGAGAUGGGCCCGCGUCUGAUUAGCUAGUUGGUAAGGUAACGGCUUACCAAGGCGACGAUCAGUAGCCGACUUGAGAGAGUGAUCGGCCACAUUGGGACUGAGACACGGCCCAAACUCCUACGGGAGGCAGCGGUGGGGAAUAUUGGACAAUGGGGGAAACCCUGAUCCCAGCGACGCCGCGUGAGUGAAGAAGUAUUUCGGUAUGUAAAGCUCUAUCAGCAGGGAAGAUAAUGACAGUACCUGACUAAGAAGCCCCGGCUAACUACGUGCCAGCCGCGGC
rnacentral:rRNA from 1 species